CCUCGAUGGAACCAUGAGGCCUAUGAUCAUGGUUCAAAAUAGGAAUUGAUCGGUCAUACUUCGGGUAAAACAAACCGGAUCUGGGGUUGAAAGCGGGUCUAUUGUUUAAAGCAUUAGGGUUUGCAAUUGAACAAAUUAGGUGAACUGAACGGGGGUUUGAAUUGAAAAUGGGGGGCUGGGGGAGACAAUUAGGGUUUAAAACAUGAUGAACUGGGUAAAUUGAAUGGGGAUUAGGAUUGAAAAUUGGGCGAUUGGGGAUGAACUCUCACAAUUCUUCUCGUAUUAAGACCUCAGCUCACUAUCCUCCGCAAAAACUGAGCCGAUUUGAUCAUUAGGUGGGAUGUCGUUGGUCCAUGGACUCCCCAGAUUCGGGCAGCAUGUUUUCGAGUUGUUAACCGUAAAAUGUUAGAUUUAACAGAAUGAGGUGCCAUUCAAUACAAAGAUAAUGUUAGUGACUGAGAAAAGGCCCGCUUAAGUUUACCACCGGUAAGUUUGGAAACAAGUAUAAUAGUUGAGUGAUAAAAAAUUGAUUUUCCUUACAUAUAUAAACUAUUUUUUAGAAAUUAAGCCUUGAUUAAUGGACUUUUUGGGUCUCCUAACAACCCAGUUACGUUGUUUCUGCGAGUAAACUCAAGCUUACCGGCGUAUCCGCUAUUUUUGCAGAAUAUUUUUCCUGCCAGGAUAUUACUUCCUCUGUUUUCAAAUACUUGACGCUUUGAUUUUUUGGCACACAUUUUCAAGAGUUUUGUCUGCAUACUUAAAAUUAUGAUUUUUAAUUUUCUUUUGAAUAAAAAUAUUAAAUUUAUACUUUAAUUCACAAAAAAAUUAAAAAUAUUAACUCUAAUUAUGCGGUCAAUGCACUUAAAAAUACUAUGUGCCUGGAGUCAAACGUCAAGUAUUUGAAAACAGGGGUAUAUUUGAGUUGAGAUUUGAAGACAUAUUUUUAUAUUAUUUUAAAAUAAUCGAUCUACAUAUUAGUCCAGUUAAAUACCCUCUCUUUACUAUAUUUCUCCUUCUUAUUUUUUUGUCAAUUUUAUUUUAAAACUUUGUUCAUAGGACUUAAAUAAUAUCUCCUUUGUACAAUUAAUAGUAAAUUCAUUAAACUUUAAAAAUAAUUAUAAUUGCACUCAUUACAAAACCAAGUUGAAAAGAACUUACAUGAAUAUUGACUAGAUCUCCAAGCUUAUGUUUCCAUGUUACAACUUGUGUUUUUGACGAAUCAGUAAACUAAACUACUAUACAUGAUCAGCUAUUCUAGGACAUAUCAAGCUUCGUCUAGUAUCUUCGUUUCCUCUGCAGUGCCAUCAUGAAUCUCUUCCUCUUCCACAUCUUCCGCAUCUAUCAUUUAGCCUUAUGUUCAUAUGUGCAAUGAUCAACCAACAUUUCCCAGCCAAUCUUCUCGGCUAUUUUUUUUUGUAGAUUUUCCAUAUAUCAGAUACUCUAAAAUAUUUUUAUUCUUAUUUAAUUUGGUCGGUUACUUUUCUGCAACUCUCCUGCCCAUUGUUACAUAUACCCUAUAACCUGAAUUACUUUACAUCCAACUCAGGAUUUCAGCAAUUUCAGUUUUCAAAACCAUAAUCCAGAGAUUUACCAGCAAGAGAUUCAGAGAAGCAAUCAACAUGACGACUGAAAUGUGGACGAGUUUUGGGUCUCUGCUUGCUAGCUUGAUGUUUAUAUUUGCAAUGAUCAACCAACACUUCUCGGGCAAUCUUCUCGGCUAUUUUCUGCAGCAGCUCAUCCAGAAAUCUUUGUCGUAUUUCAACCCGUACAUCGAGAUCACGUUCCAUGAGUAUUCCCGGGACAGCUUACGUCUCGAUUGAGCGUUAUCUGGCUGUCAAAUCUUCGGCCACGGCCACGAGACUCAAGGCCAACUCGGUCCGAGACAGCGAACGCCUGGUGCUCAGCAUGGACGACUACGAAGAGAUCGUGGACGAAUAUCAAGGGAUCAACUUCCUCAUAGCCGCCACCACCACCGCCCUUGUUCCCCUUCUUUUUCAUAUUUUUCGGUUUCGUCCCCUGAACACCAAGUGAGAGCCUAAUCAGCUUACUAUUCAAAUUACCAUGUCUCACACUCUCCGCGUUACUUUGUAAAUAUGGUUGCACAUUCGACACACGACCCGAAUAACCAGAACCAUUUGAAUCAUAACCCUCGAUGGAACCAUGAGGCCUAUGAUCAUGGUUCAAAAUAGGAAUUGAUCGGUCAUACUUCGGGUAAAACAAACCGGAUCUGGGGUUGAAAGCGGGUCUAUUGUUUAAAGCAUUAGGGUUUGCAAUUGAACAAAUUAGGUGAACUGAACGGGGGUUUGAAUUGAAAAUGGGGGGCUGGGGGAGACAAUUAGGGUUUAAAACAUGAUGAACUGGGUAAAUUGAAUGGGGAUUAGGAUUGAAAAUUGGGCGAUUGGGGAUGAAAUUAGGGUUUAUAAUUUGGGGAUUU
rnacentral:lncRNA from 1 species